GCCGGGCAUGGUGGUGCGUGCCUGUAGUCCCAGCUACUCAGGAGGCUGAGGCUGGAGGAUCUCUCGUGCCCAGGAGUUCUGGGCUGUAAUGUGCUAUGCCAAUCGGGUGUCUGCACUAAGUUUGGCAUCAAUAUGGUGACCUCCCGGGAGUGGGGGACCGCCAAGUUGCCUAAGGAGAGGUGAACCGGCCCAGGUCGGAAACAGAGCAGGUCAAAACUCCCGUGCUGAUCAGUAGUGGGAUUGCACCUGUGAAUAGCCACUGCACUCCAGCCUGGGCAACAUAGCGAGACCCCGUCUCUA
rnacentral:SRP_RNA from 1 species